rnacentral:rRNA from 1 species
GACGAACCGUGCGAACGUUGUUCGGAAUCACUGGGCUUAAAGGGCGCGUAGGCGGGUCACCAAGUCCGGGGUGAAAGCCCCCAGCUCAACUGGGGAAGUGCCUUGGAUACUGGUGGUCUGGAGGGAGGUAGGGGCAGUGGGAACUUCCGGUGGAGCGGUGAAAUGCGUUGAUAUCGGAAGGAACGCCGGUGGCGAAAGCGCACUGCUGGACCUCUACUGACGCUGAGGCGCGAAAGCCAGGGGAGCAAACGGG